CCUACGGGAGGCAGCAGUGGGGGAUAUUGCACAAUGGGGGAAACCCUGAUGCAGCGACGCCGCGUGGGCGAAGAAGUAUUUCGGUAUGUAAAGCCCUAUCAGCAGGGAAGAAGAAAUGACGGUACCUGAGUAAGAAGCACCGGCUAAAAACGUGCCAGCAGCCGCGGUAAUACGUAUGGGGGCAAGCGUUAUCCGGAUUUACUGGGUGUAAAGGGGGCGCAGACGGCAAGGCAAGUCUGGAGGGAAAGGCCGUGGCCCAACCACGGGACUGCUGUGGAAACUGGGUUGCUGGAGUGCAGGAGGGGGAAGCGGAAUUCCUGGUGUAGCGGUGAAAUGCGUAGAUAUUAGGAGGAACACCGGUGGCGAAGGCGGCUUACUGGACUGUAACUGACGUUGAGGCUCGAAGGCGUGGGGAGCAAACAGGAUUAGAUACCCCAGUAGUC
rnacentral:rRNA from 1 species